ACUACAUUCUCUUGGCCCAAGAAUACCUCACUCUACUGCAAUCCAGCAAAAUCCUGCCUGCGACGUGAUUGGACCAUUCACCCGUCCUGAUCAGCAUACGCUCACCGCUGUUCAAACCCUCUGAAAGGAAAUGGAAACUCAUUGAGCAGAUACUGGAGGAAAUUGAUAUAGUUGAAGAGACCAGGAUGACUUUAGAACACU